rnacentral:tRNA from 1 species
GCCUGGCUGGCUCAGUUGGCAGAGCAUGUGACUCUUGAUCUCAGGAUCUUGAGUUUGAGCCCCAUGUUGGGCG